AGUGAACGCUGGCGGUAGGCCUAACACAUGCAAGUCGAACGGCAGCACAGUAAGAGCUUGCUCUUACGGGUGGCGAGUGGCGGACGGGUGAGGAAUACAUCGGAAUCUACUUUUUCGUGGGGGAUAACGUAGGGAAACUUACGCUAAUACCGCAUACGACCUACGGGUGAAAGCAGGGGAUCUUCGGACCUUGCGCGAUUGAAUGAGCCGAUGUCGGAUUAGCUAGUUGGCGGGGUAAAGGCCCACCAAGGCGACGAUCCGUAGCUGGUCUGAGAGGAUGAUCCGCCACACUGGAACUGAGAGACGGUCCAGCCUCCUACGGGAGGCACCAGUGGGGAAUAUUGGACAAUGGGCGCAAGCCUGAUCCAGCCAUACCGCGUGGGUGAAGAAGGCCUGCGGGUUGUAAAGCCCUUUUGUUGGGAAAGAAAAGCAGCAGGUUAAUACCCCGCUGUUCUGACGGUACCCAAAGAAUAAGCACCGGCUACCUUCGU
rnacentral:rRNA from 1 species